rnacentral:rRNA from 1 species
AACGUAGGACACAAGCGUUAUCCGGAAUUACUGGGCGUAAAGCGCCUGCAGGCGGCAUAAUAAGUCAUGCGUGAAAGCGCUCGGCUAAACUGAGCGAGGACGGAUGAUACUGUUAAGCUAGAGGGUGAUAGAGGCGAGUGGAAUUCCGCGUGUAGUGGUGAAAUGCGUAGAGAUGCGGAGGAACACCAGUGGCGAAGGCGGCUCGCUGGGUCACACCUGACGCUGAGAGGCGAAAGCAUGGGGAGCGAACGGG